UGUUUGGAGAGUUUGAUUCUGGCUCAGAACGAACGCUGGCGGCAUGGAUUAGGCAUGCAAGUCGAACGAUGGUAGCAAUACCAUAGUGGCGCAAGGGUGAGGAACGCGUGAGUGACCUACCCUCAAGUUUGGAAUAGCUUCUGGAAACGGAAAUUAAUACCGGAUGUGAUAAUGUUACUGCAUGGUGAUAUUAUUAAAGCAGCAAUGCGCUUGAGGAGGGGCUCGCGUCCCAUUAGUUAGUUGGUGAGGUAAUGGCUCACCAAGACCAUGAUGGGUAGCUGGUCUGAGAGGACGACCAGCCACACUGGGACUGAGAACUGCCCAGACUCCUACGGG
rnacentral:rRNA from 1 species